UACCAGCUCCCUGAGUGGUCGGGGCGUUUAUUGGGCCUAAAGCGUCCGUAGCCGGCCUUGUAGGUCUCCUGUUAAAUUCAGCGGCUCAACCGAUGAACUGCAGGAGAUACCGCAGGGCUAGGAGGCGGGAGAGGCGGACGGUACUCCAUGGGUAGGGGUAAAAUCCUUUGAUCCAUGGAAGACCACCAGUGGCGAAGGCGGUCCGCCAGAACGCGCUCGACGGUGAGGGACGAAAGCUGGGGGAGCGAACCGGAUUAGAUACCCGGGUAGUCCCAGCUGUAAACGAUGCGAGCUAGGUGACAGAGUGGCUAAGGGCUACUCUGGUGCCGCAGGGAAGCCGUUAAGCUCGCCGCCUGGGGAGUACGGUCGCAAGACUGAAACUUAAAGGAAUUGGCGGGGGAGCACCACAAGGGGUGAAGCCUGCGGUUCAAUUGGAGUCAACGCCGGGAAUCUUACCGGGAGUGACAGCAGGGUGAAGGUCAGGCUGAAGACCUUACCAGACGAGCUGAGAGGAGGUGCAUGGCCGUCGCCAGCUCGUGCCGUGAGGCGUCCUGUUAAGUCAGGCAACGAGCGAGACCCCUGCCGUCAAUUGCUAGCACUAUCCGAAAGGAUGGUGAGGCUAGUUGGUGGGACUGCCGUCGCUAAGACGGAGGAAGGAAGGGGCCACGGCAGGUCAGUAUGCCCCGAAACUCCCGGGCCACACGCGGGCUGCAAUGGUAGGGACAGCGGGUUCCGACCUCGAAAGAGGGAGGCAAUCCUCAAACCCUACCUCAGUUGUGACUGAGGGCUGUAACCCGCCCUCACGAAUCUGGAAUCCCUAGUAACCGCGUGUCAACACCGCGCGGUGAAUACGUCCCUGCUCC
rnacentral:rRNA from 1 species